GAUGAACGCUGGCGGCGUGCCUAAUACAUGCAAGUCGAGCGAACGGACGAGAAGCUUGCUUCUCUGAUGUUAGCGGCGGACGGGUGAGUAACACGUGGAUAACCUACCUAUAAGACUGGGAUAACUUCGGGAAACCGGAGCUAAUACCGGAUGAUAUUUUGAACCGCAUGGUUCAAAAGUGAAAGACGGUCUUGCUGUCACUUAUAGAUGGAUCCGCGCUGCAUUAGCUAGUUGGUAAGGUAACGGCUUACCAAGGCAACGAUGCAUAGCCGACCUGAGAGGGUGAUCGGCCACACUGGAACUGAGACACGGUCCAGACUCCUACGGGAGGCAGCAGUAGGGAAUCUUCCGCAAUGGUCGAAAGCCUGACGGAGCAACGCCGCGUGAGCGAUGAAGGUCUUCGGAUCGUAAAACUCUGUUAUUAGGGAAGAACAUAUAUGUGAGUAACUGUGCACAUCUUGACGGUACCUAAUCAGAAAGCCACGGCUAACUACGUG
rnacentral:rRNA from 1 species